rnacentral:miRNA from 7 species
UGGUCGUAUGUAUGACGUCAUU